GUCAGCGCUGAAUCUUUUUAUUCUUUGGAAGCAGUGCUUUGGUUAGAACAUCUAGUUUCAACUACCACUCCCUAUGUCUUAUAUUUUGUAUUCCAAAUUUAUCUCGUAAUAUGUUGCCGCAUUAAUGUGUGAUAUAAUUGAAGCUUUUAACUUAGGGUUAACUGAUAGAUUUUGUUUUGAAUUCGAAUCUUUCAGAACUUAAUUCGAAAUGUAUUUUUGGUGCUCUGAGAGCAAUUUGGUCGUUUGCCAAUGGUAGGAAUUUAAUAAUUUUAUUUUCUACCAAGAAAGAUGAUAUAUUUAAUCUGUGCUUUGCUUGAAUGGAAGUAUGUGUCGUCUCUAUUUGUUUUUCCAUGAAUCAAGUAUAUUUCUUAGACAUGAAUUUGUGCAAGAUGUAGACAUGAAUUUACUCUUACCUGCCAACAUUGUUAAGUUGGAAGGCUUGGAUUAAUGUUGCCUGUUAAUCUUUUAAUUCCUUCAGUAGAAAUUAAUGCUUCAAAUGUCAGCUUGAACAAGAAGGCACUUCUUUAGUCAUCUUCUUUUGCUUAGUAAUAUUUUCAGGUGAGAAUUCAUUUUGUGUUGCCCUUUUACACCUCUCCCUGGAUGAUUUUUCAUUGGUAUUUACUGUAGCAGACUUCAUUCCAUCCUGCUUUUUGUCAUGGAGCUUAGAAUAUUGAGGUUUCGUGAUUGUAUUCAUUUCUCAACCUGAUGAAGCCCUUGGCUGAACUGUGCGUUCUAUGAUCUGUUAACACUUACCAGAAUGCUGAGUGUUCAUUCUCCCUUUCAUCGGUAACUUUACAGUACCUGCAUGUAUGAAGAGGCUGAUUUUGUUUCUUUUCCUUUCUAGCUUUCUAUGUAUAUAGUGGAAGACCCUGUGAGUAUAGCUGCCUCUGUGUCUUUUUGAUGUGUAAUAUUCUCAUUGCUGCCAGUAACUUUCAGUAAUGUUCAUAAUUCAAGAUUACGUGGCUCUUGAAAGAGACUGCCUGAUUUUUCCAAUAGCAUGUUUUACCUGUAGCACUGUUCGUAGAUUUACUGAUUGAUCCACAUUUGACCCAUGCUUCAAGUCCUUGAUAUGGAACAGGGAGAUAUUGUGGGUUUUUGCGAUUUAGUAUUCCCCUGAACCAAUACAAAUGAGAGCCAACCUUGCAUCAUUCAGUUUUUGCUACCCUGGUAUGUGUUAGCCUUCUUAUGUUAGUUAUAACUUUGUGAAUUGUGAAUUAUGAUGAAGUUUGAAGUUUGAAGUCAUUUAAACUUAAUCAGAAUUUCACCCCUUGAUCCACCUGUUAAGCCAUCCUCUUGUUUUUUUUUAUGCACCCUUUGUCCAAUGCUAUAAUUUUUUACUCUGUUUUUCAUUGGCAUACUUGAUCACUGUUCUCUUUCCUCUUGCCUUCCUGUUGAUCGGUCUCGGUUCAUCCAGAAUUGUCAGGUGCUCUUACCAUCUCCUCACUCAUGUGAUUUUUAACAAAUGUCCUUAAACACUAUCAAGACCACAUUGGAUUUUUUCCACCUUUCCAUGUUUGACUUUAACCUCCAUACAGUUCUUCCUCUUCACGUGGAUCAUCCAAGAGUUUUUGAAUUUUUUUCUUUUGAUCCCCAACCAGAGGUUAGAAUCAAUGGAUCUUCGAUAUUGUAGAUUUUAGAAUACCAUGUAUUUUUUAAUAAUGUACUGAUCUCCUUAACAACUUCGGUAGCCAACAUAACUUAUGCAAUAUAGAACUGUUGGAACGUGUUGGUAUGUUAUGUAUAUAAUGGAAAAAGACAUCAUUUCAAGAUUCAAAUCCUUUCAGGUUACCUGCCCUUUAUGAUUUACAUAAAAUUCAGCUAGCUUCUUUCCAGCAUGUCUGAGCAGAAUCUUAGAUUUAGAUAGGUUUGAGAAUAUUGAUGCUGAACCUGAAGGGGUUCCUACAUCACAAACGGGAUUGGAGGGACUGUAGAAAUCCCACAAAUGUUGAUCCUAGUUCAUUUACAUUCUCAUGUCUGUGAAUCUGCAAAGCCUCCACAUAGACCUACGAUCUUAAGAACAUCUCUGUUAGUACAGUGUCUUCCCCCAGAACCUUUUAAGACAUUGUUCCAUCACAUUUAUUGUUCAUAUCUUGUUAGGCCUCCAGUAAUACACACUUGUGCCAGAAGAGUAGAACACACUCUUAUGAACUUUAGAUCCCAAAGCUUUUUAAUUGUAGUAAAUUAUGACCCUUAUAAAGAGUUGAGCUUUCCACAGUCGAUUGUAUCAUUGACCAUUCAAUGGGUACUAUACUAUACUACUUUUGGUUGUUGGAUAAGCUUUCCAAGACACCUUUUGUUUUCCUCUUUCCCAUCUUCUUCUGUAUAAUUCUGAGUUUUUAACAAAUACGAAAGAUUCGAUAUGGGAUGCUCAUCCUAUUACUCUCUAAAUGAUACAGGCCCAUAGACACGACGACGACAGUGACCCUUAGUAGAAAUACCUCUAACUCUUUCUUUCUGUGCAAUAGACAACAGGAAGUCCAUGACCAUCUCCGAUUUAACAGUGUCAGCUACUAGAUGGCAAUGGCAACCAUGAACUAUAUGAAGACACAGGAUGAAUUCUUUCGCAAACUUCAUCCAUUUGUUUUGUUAGCGAUUUCGUUUGUCGAUUUAUUGUAAGAAAAUUUGUACUUGUUAUAGAACUAAAUGUGAGUUUGCUGGUUUUGUUAAGUUUAUUCUUUUGAAUUUUUUUGCUUCUU